rnacentral:snRNA from 1 species
AUACCUUUCUCGGCCUUUUGGCUAAGAUCAAGUGUAGUAUCUGUUCUUAUCAGUUUAAUAUCUGAUAUGUGAGCCAUUGGCUCACUCGAUAUUAAUCUUAUUUUUUAUGGGGAAGGUCCGUCACAGUAGCUUGCUGCUGGGAUCUUCAUGCGUCGCCUUGGUCUUACACUACCACCGAGGCCUGGCGCACCCCUC